CAACGCGAAGAACGUUACCUGGGCUUGACAUGGGAGUGAAAUCCCGUAGAGAUACGGGACUGUCCUUCGGGAACACUCCACACAGGUGCUGCAUGGUAGUCGUCAGCUCGUGUCGUGAGAUGUUGGGUUAAGUCCCGCAACGAGCGCAACCCUCGCCCUUAGUUGCCAGCGGGUAAUGCCGGGAACUCUAGGGGGACUGUCUGGUACAACCAGGAGGAAGGUGGGGAUGACGUCAAAUCAUCAUGGCCCUUACGCCCAGGGCUAGACACGUGCUACAAUGGCUGGUACAACGGGCUGCAAGCUCGCGAGAGCAAGCCAAUCCCUAAAAACCAGCCUCAGUUCAGAUUGGAGUCUGCAAUUCGACUUCAUGAAGGUGGAAUCGCUAGUAAUCGCGGAUCAGCAUGCCGCGCUGAAUACGUUCCCGGGCCUUGUACACACCGCCCGUCAAGCCACGAAAGAUGGUAGUACCCGAAGUCGCUACUCUAACCCGCAAGGGAGGAGGGCGCCGAAGGUA
rnacentral:rRNA from 1 species